AUUAUUUUUCAGAAAUUAGUAGUGCAUUUAAACCAUAUUUCCCAGGAAAAAAAACAAUUAUCAUUUUGUAGCAACUUAUAAUUUCGACUUGUAGCAACUUAUUAUUACAUCAUCCUAACUAGUACUAGUAACCGUCUGGUUUGCUUUCGCCUCUCAAUGAUUUUAUUUUCCACAUAUCGAUUUUUUUUAUAACAUUGAGCCAGUCCAUUCAUACCGAGCAAGAAGAGAAACCUUGCAACAAUUCAUGCCGAGUCCGUCAGAACCCCGCCAAAAAAAAGAAAGAAACCGAGUCAAUCGGCGAGUGAGACUGACUCGCGGGGCCCAAUUUGGACACGAGCUGAAAGAAGAUAACCCUAUCAGUGGCAGUGACAGACAAAGAACACUGACUAGACAACAGCAUUGAGCAUUCACAGGCCGAAGAAGUAUGCUGACGAGGUUCAGGUUCAGAGCACAAGGGCUCAGGGAUCUACAUCAGCUGACGCCCACGCGACAGGGUCGACGGCGAAAUGCAGCUCCAUGUCCGGAUCAAACUUCGAUGCCCGCAACUGCAUCUCACAGCGAAAACACAAAGAAAUUAAAUCGAGCAUCGACACAGUGGAGCAUAGCACUAGCUGUCAGCUAUAGCAAGGUGUAAAAAGUUUCGGUUUCAGAGUUUUUGAGCUCGGUGUCUCCUGAUUUUAGGUCACCAAUCGCCAGCGUUCUGCACGCCUAGCUUGAGCAUAUCUGGUUUCCAAUGCGAUAGGUAAGAUCAACUAAGAUAUCCCGGCUUUUUUCUCUCUCUCGAAAAAGAAAAAAGAAGAUAUCCAGGUUUUCUGAGCAAUUAUUUACUGAACUGAAGAUGGAACGGUCUAUUUUCAGAGCUCCAACAAAGUAACCACGACAGGUUCCGAACUGAAGGGAUAGACGGUCUUAUUUUGUUGGGUGUGGAUGAUCCAACUUUACUGAACUCAACUUACCCAAAAGUAAAUAAAGUUUUCCGAGCACUACUCUACUUCUGUUAAUACAUCUUAUUAUUGUCUUGCCCUUGAUGAAAAACAAAGUUCCCCUUUAUUCAAACCAGAACUUACCGGCUCCCUAAUUUCUAUGGAUGCAAGUGCAGAAAUCUUACAUCCUUGUAAGCUGUGCUCUCCUUGAAUAAUUUGAAGCCGUCAGCUGUUAAAAACAAGAGAAAGGUAGUAAGUAAUCAGCCCUGGUGAUUAGUGAAGAUAUCCAUCAUCUAUCUUUGCUCUACAAUCUAAAUAGUUUAGGGAUUCUCAAAUGGAACAGAAACAAAAUGUAGUGAAAACUUACUUGAUGUAGAACGGGUAGCGGCAGCGUGACUGCACAUACUGUCCACACGACCCUGGCAACAACCUGAUUUGAAAUAUAUCAUCAGGAACUGUUCUUUCAGACCAAGAAUAAACUAUGCAGAGG
rnacentral:lncRNA from 1 species